rnacentral:rRNA from 1 species
AGUCGAACGGAAGUCGUUGUAAUGAAAUAGAAACGGACAGAGAACUUGUUCGAAGAAAGUGGAAGUAGACUUACAACAAUGGCUUUAGUGGCGGACUGGUGAGUAACGCGUAAGGAACCUGCCUUCUAGAGGGGAAUAACAAUGAGAAAUCAUUGCUAAUACCGCAUAUGCCGAGAGAAUCACAUGGUACAAUCGGGAAAAGAGUAAUCUGCUAGAAGAUGGCCUUGCGUCUGAUUAGAUAGUUGGUGGGGUAACGGCCUACCAAGUCGACGAUCAGUAGCCGGACUGAGAGGUUGAACGGCCACAUUGGGACUGAGAUACGGCCCAGACUCCUACGGGAGGCAGCAGUCGGGAAUAUUGCGCAAUGGAGGAAACUCUGACGCAGUGACGCCGCGUAUAGGAAGAAGGUUUUCGGAUUGUAAACUAUUGUCGUUAGGGAAGAGAAAGGACAGUACCUAAGGAGGAAGCUCCGGCUAACUACGUGCCAGCAGCCGCGGUAAUACGUAGGGAGCGAGCGUUAUCCGGAAUUAUUGGGUGUAAAGGGUGCGUAGACGGGAAGAUAAGUUAGUUGUGAAAUCCCUCGGCUUAACUGAGGAACUGCAACUAAAACUGUUUUUCUUGAGUGCAGGAGAGGUAAGUGGAAUUCCUAGUGUAGCGGUGA